rnacentral:tRNA from 1 species
AUUUUAUUAGUAUAAUUGAGUAUAAUUAUUUUCCAAAUAAUAGGUUUAGAUAUAAUGUUAAAUAAAAUA